AGAAACACAAUUUCUUUCUGUUCCAUUUUUCUCAUUUGGGCAUUGUUUCUUGAUUGGGGUUUGUUGCGGCGAUAUGUAGCUGCGGAUGAUGGUGGGGUGGUGAAAAGGGAAGGGUUUGAGAUUAUAAUUGGCGGUGGCUAUAGUCCACCUCCUGAGUAUGAAGAAGGCUGUCCACCUCCCCCUCCUGAGCCUGAAUGCCCCCCACCUCCACCUCCAUCUCCACCUCCACCUCCACCUCCAUCUCCACCUCCACCUCCAUCUCCACCUCCACCUCCACCUCCAUCUCCACCUCCACCUCCAUCUCCACCUCCACCUCCACCUCCAUCUCCACCUCCACCCCCUCCUCCACCCCCUCCUCCUCCUCCUCCUCCACCUCCUCCUCCUCCUCCGCCUCCGCCUCCUCCUCCUCCACCAGUCGAUCGCAAUGCGAGACUUAAAAUUGCUCUAAAAGCAAUCAGGAUAUUCCAAGCCAAAAUCACGGUAGAUCCUUUUAAUAUCGCCAAGGGAUGGAAGGGCAACAAUCCUUGCAAAUUCAAGGGCUUCGUCUGCAGUACUGUCCCGGACAAGAACCUGAACGCAGUCGCCGGAGUAGACUUCAAUGGCUUUAACUUCGGAGGCCCCAACCUCGCUCUUGACGGCUUCCUUAACGGGUUACCAGACAUAACCAUCUUCCACGCCAAUUCCAACGACUUCAACGGUCGCAUCCCCAAAAUUGACACUACAAAACUCCGAUACCUUUACGAGCUGGACUUGAGCAACAACAAGCUACAUGGUGAGUUCCCAUACGAAGUCCUCGCCGCCAAGCAGCUCACCUUCCUGGACCUCCGGUUCAACUCAUUCUCUGGCGUGGUUCCGCCGCACGUCUUCAUACUAGAUGUGGACGUUAUUUUCAUAAAUGACAACAAUUUCAUACAGCAGCUCCCGGAAAAUAUAGGGGACACGCCAGCCCUUUACCUCACUUUUGCCAAUAACAAGUUUACAGGCCCCAUCCCACGCAGCAUCGGCCGAUCCAAAAACCUUCUCGAGGUCCUUUUCCUCAACAACCAGCUGUCAGGGUGCUUGCCCUACGAGAUAGGAUAUUUGAAAGACGCCACAGUGUUUGACGUUGGUUUCAACCAGUUAACUGGCCCAAUCCCGCAUUCAUUCGGCUGCUUGGACAGCAUUCAGAUCCUUAACUUGGCCGCAAACCAGUUCUACGGGCCUGUCCCUGAAACUCUCUGCGAGCUGCCCAACCUCUACAACCUGUCUCUCUCACACAACUAUUUCACUCAGGUUGGCCCCAAAUGCCGAAAAUUGAUAACGGAGAAGAAACUGGACGUGAGGAUGAACUGCAUUUUGGGACUUCCACAGCAGAAACCAGAGCAUGCCUGUUCUCAUUUCUUCUCCCAAGUCAGGCAAUGCCCUGAUCCCAAGUCAUUUAUCAAAGUCCCUUGCGGUAGGUACCCAAGCCAUCUUCCUUCAUCCUCCAAGCCCCCCGCUCUGCGAACCUAUGGUACCCUCAUCCCACAUCGACUGUGAGCCUCUCUCUCUUCAAACAUGGCCAUAAUCCUUUAAUUCUUAUAUGUAUAUUUUUCUUUUCCUGUAAUGCUCAUAUGUAUAUUUCCCCCCUUCCAUUUCAUGCCUCAUGCCUGCAACCAAAUAAUUCCAUAUAUAUUCUGUACUGGUUUCAUUUCAGUUCUUCCCUAAGAAUGUGCCAUUGUGAUAAUAAAAUUAGUAUCCUUCUAAGCUUCUGACAAAUUUAGCAAGUGACUCCUACAGUCCUACUGAAUACUCCGGUUUUUUUUUUUUUUUUUUUCAUAAUAAUUAAUUAAUAUUUUAAAAUUUUCCAUUUCAACCCACUAUAAUUCCACAUCAGUAACCAUCAUCAAAUUGUAUUCCACUAAAUGCGUGCCAAAUGGUCGAGGAUUUUUCAAACGAUUUUUAGAAAAAUUGAAAGGAAAAGGGGCUUUUAAAAUUUUAAAAUGGCAAUGCUUUAAGAAAAGUAAGCUGUCCUCCACUGAACAGGGUCCUACUCCUUUUCUUCUGAAUCGGGGGAUGCCUUCACCCCAAGGGCAAAUUGACCCUUCAUUGACCUAGGACGGUGGCCAGUGCCAAAAGCCAAGCACAGCUCGACCUUGCUUUUGUGAAAAAACCCAACACAAAUUAAAGGGGGUUGGGGAGGUGGGUCCUAUCACCCAUGCCGACAAGCUACUUAUCUUCAUACAGACUUCAUUGAUGACACAAUAAAUUUGUGUACCCACCAAUUUCAGGUUAUAUGAAGAUAGAGUGAGUGGAUAAGAAAUGAUUUACAUUGACAUAAACUACAAGCACCUUAACGUGAGGGGUGAUUGAUUGAAUAUAUUUAGAAUGGUCCUUGAAAGGACUCUUAAGUUUUACAUUUCAUUUCUAUUGUCGAUAUUUUGAUUUGACUUGUUGUCUUCAUCCAUUUGUAGCACUGUAACGUCCAACGAAUGAGUCAAAAAUGGUGUGAAUAAACUUGAAGGAAAUGACAAAAUGUUGGUCCCUAUCAAAGUCGUAUCAAUUGCUAUUAAAUUUGUAUAACAAAAUUUGGAUGAUUGAAUGAAGUAUUAUAAAUAAAUGAAAUCAAGAUACAAUAAUAUAAAUAAUUAUACAUGAAAAGGUAUACAUUACACCAUUUGAUUAAUAAUAUUAUUUUUUUAUAUUUAUAAAAUAAUAGUGUGAUUAAUGUUACAUCAUUUUCAGUAUCUAUUAAUAUUUAUCGUAGAAGCUAUACUUCAACAUUGCUAUAGGUAUAGGUAGACCCAUUUUGAAAGUAUAUAAAUGGUAUGAUGCGAAAGAUACAAUAGUCGGAUGGGACGAUGUUAUGGGUGGACCUGUAUUGAAAAUAUAUAAAUGGCGUAAUAAAGAGAUACAAUAACCAUAUGACAUUCGAGAAUAAUUGAUAAAUGGUGAUUGACAAUAACUUUCCAUAUUUUAGUACUAUUAAUUACAUUAUUUUGUCAUAGGGUUUUGAUUAAAUGCAUAUUGUUUUUCUUUGAUUUAAAAUUUAAUUAUACAAGGUUUGUGGAAAAAUUGUGCUUAAGACUAAUUAGACCAAAAAAUUUGUCUUAAAUCCAUAAAACCUAUCCAUUCAAGCCCAAGACUCAACAUAAGUAUAAGAAUUGAGAAGAAGGAUAUGAAACUUCAAUAUUUAUAAACUAUCAUUUUAUGAUUAUGAAAAAAAAAACACAAAAUUCAACCUAAAAGUUAUAUAAAAAAAAAUAAAACUCUUCAAAAUAAAAAUUAAAAUACAAUUUUUCUUAAUAAUAAUAUUGGAAAAAAGCAUUUUUAGAAUAAAAUUGAAAAGCAAAAAAAAAAUUAAUAAAAUCAAAUUUCCCUUUUUAAUAAACUAAGUUUUUCUUUUAAUAUAUUAUUAUUAUUUAAAUAAAUCCCUAUUUUAGAAUUUGAAAUCACAUUUUUUUAAUAAAUUUGAACUUUUUUUCUCUCUUGAUUUUUUAUAAUUAAUUUAAAAUAUUUUUUAGGACAAAACGGGGAUAACAUUUUUUAAAAAAUAAAUUGUAAUUUUUAAAAAAUAAAUUUAAGAAUUUUCUUUUAAAACAUAAAUUAAUUUUUUUAUAAAUAUUUUCUAAUUCAAAUUGAAAUUGAUUUUUGUCAAAAUAAAAUAAAAUAAAAUAAAAAGAUAUUUUGUAAAUAACAUUUUCUUCUAUUUAAUAAAUAAAAAAUUAAGAUUUUUUUUUUGUGCAAUCUCUGUGGAUAUAUUUUUGUUUCUUAUAAUCAAUGGUCCCUCCUGUGAGUCAUGCCACUGGACCGUUCUCCCCGUAUUUAUUCGGUUGGGUAAUGAUGAGUUGACAGUUCAAGACAUGACCGACCAUACUAUGAUACACACAGCUAGCCUCCAUGGCAUGCAGAACUGGUCCAAAAUUUUCAAUAAUGAGAGGUUGAUAGAUAGAGAGUAGUGACCUUCCAACCACUUUAAUUGGUGACAAUGAUUUAUUGGCAAAUAGUAAUUCAAGUAGUAAUUGAAUGGAAAAAAAUUUAUACAUUUUAUAUAGUAAUCACUUUUUAAUAUUUUUAUUCAUAUAAACAUGAACAAAAGACAAAAAUAUAUAACAAAAAUGAUUAGAAAUAACACCCCAUCAAGUACAAUGUCAACGGAUUUCAAAACUCUUUUGAAAAGAAAACAAUAAAAUAAUUUUUUUUUUAAAUAUUUUAUUUUAAAUUUUGGGAUAAUUUUUUUAAAUCAAUUUAAGGUGUUUUCACAUAUUUUUAUUUUAUAGAAUAAAAAAUUUAGUUAAAAAAUAUAAUAGCGAAGAUGAAGACUAUUUUCUAUAAUUUUAUUUAAAAAAUUAGAAAGAGUUCUAUCGUAACUUGGACUACAAACUCAACUAGAAUUUAAAAACAAUUAAUUGAGCUCAAUCUAAUCUAAUAUCUAAUUUGCGGUGUUCGUCCCAAGUUUAAUCCAACUUCAUUUCUCCAUAUUUGGGUUAAAAUGAAGCUUAUUGGAUUAAAUUCAAGUUGGUUUGGAUGAUCAAAUUAUAUAAUUCAAAAUCUAUUUAUAAUUUUAAAUUUUUUUAUAUAUAUUUAUAUGAAAAUUUUAAUAAUAAAUAAAACAAAAUUUCAAGAUGAUAUUAAAAAAGUAAAAAUAAAUUUAUACAUCUAAAAUAAUGAAGAAGUAUAUGAUAUAAUAUAAUUUGAUAUUUUUCAAGAAAAAAAAAUUAUAUUAAAUUAUAUACAUUAUAAAUGUUAUAAAAAUACUAAAUUAAACUUGAUUUUUAUUUUACUUCUUCUCUUCAUCUAUUUGUGGUACCAUAAUGUGCAAAGAAUUAGUCAAAAAUGGUGUGAAUAAACUUUAAGGAAAUGACAAAAUGUCGAUAUCCUAUAAAGUUGGUAUCACUUGCUAUUAAAUUUGUACACACGAUUGAAUAAAGUAUAAAUAAAUGAACUUAAGAUAUACAUAAAACUGUAUACAUCACAUUGUUUAAUUAAUAGUGUUUUUUAUGCUUAGUAUACUUAAAUGUUAUUGGUGGUGUCUUUUCUAUAUCUAUUUAAAAAAAAGAGAGUAUGUUUUAAUGUUAUGUCAUUUUCGGUAUCUAUCGAAAAAACCAUAUUUUCAAUAUUUAGAGAAAAAAAGUAUACUUGGACCAUGUUAUAGAUAGACCCAUUUUGAAAAUAUAUGUGAAAGAUACCUAAUUCAAAAUUCAUUUAUAAUUUUUUUUACAUAUAUUUAUAUGAAAAUUUUAAUAAUAAAUAAAAUAAAAUUUCAAGAUAACAAUUAAAAAGUAAAAAUAAAUUUAUAUAUCUAAAAUAAUGAAAAAGUAUAUGAUAUAAUAUAAUUUUAUAUUUUUUCUUAAAAAUUUAAUGUAAGAUAAUAUACAUUAUAAAUGUUAUAAAAACAUAAAAUCAAAUUCAAAUUAAAUUCGAGUUGUUCAAACCUUGACCUAAACCCAACUCAAAUUGAGAUCGAGUUAAAAAAACCUAAUUAAAACUCGAUCCAAGUAUUGACAAUAAUUGUCCAAAUGUUUACUUGAAUUCAAGUUGGGUUGGAGAUAUCGGUCCAAAUUGCACCCCUACCAAUAAUAUUAUAAUUUUUUUUUUUUACUCUUCUUUUAGCCUACUAUACUCCCAUUUUCUAUCUAAUUUUGAAAUAAUUUUUUUUUUUGAAUAUGAGUAUGAUUUUAUAUUGACUUCUUGUAUUACGAGUCUUCUAGUCGGUAAAGAUCUUUCUUUCCUUCUAUUUCCAACUCCAUGUUGGUUUUAUUCUCAUUUAUUUUAAUAUUUUUUAUUAUUUUAAAAAUCACAUUACGAAACUUCAAACACCAAGAAAGGGCCCCCCAUUUCUUGACUCUAGAGGUCUUCAUCACUUUUCUAUUUUUCUUGUUAUUAAACCACAUAUACACAUGACCUUUCCUUGGCUUUAAUUUGUGACCACAAAAAUUAAAAGGCAUCUUUGUACUUAAUCCCAAGGAAAAAAUAGUGCCUAACCCAAGUCACCAUUUCCUUAUCAACAUAGAAUAUAACAAAUCGAGCAUUUGAUUACCUAAUAUGUUAUAUUCUAGAAUUAAGUUUAUUAUAACAAAAACUUGUUAUAACUUAUAAUAUAUCUAUUAUUAGAAAUGUAUUUCAAAGGGUUGGGCCAACAACCAACUUGACCAAACCAUGGUUCUUAAGGAUUUGAAAUUAUGCCCAAUAGGUUUUGAACCCUGAUUUUUGUAAAAUGCCCAUCAUGACUAUGAGAUUUCAACCACCAUGAGAUUUUGAAGACUUAAAAGGCACCAUAUUAUUGAAUAUGACUAUUAUUAUUAUUAUUAUUAUUAUUAUUAUUAUUAUUAUGUCGCUUAAUACUAAUUAAAUGAUGAUAGACAAGGUGUAACUAACUUGGAUUUGAACUUGGAUAAAGUAGUAUCAAAACAGGGUGUCAAAAUGCUUCUCGAAUGAUUUUUAUGGAUAGUUAAGGAUAAAAAUAUUAAUUUUCACCAAUAUAUUAAUAAUUGGAUUUUGUGAAUAUAUUGGGAAAUAUCAAUGAAAAUUUUGAAAACAAUAUUGAUAAAAAAUCACAAACAAUGUGUGAAAACUCUAUAAAAUAGUAAAAAUUUCAUUACUAUACAAAGAAAAUGUAAUGAUUGUUUUUUAAUGACUUUUUUUUAUAAAAAAAAUUGUCAUUAUCUCUAACCAAUAGCAUAAACAAUGACUAUAUAAAAUAAAUAGUCAUCUUGCUUUUCUAUAUAUAUAUAUAUAUAUAUAUAUAUAUAUAUAUAUAUAUAUAUAUAUAUAUAUAUGUAUAUGUAUAAGAUUUGGUGGGAAAACAAUUUUUGUUUCCUUUUUUUUUUUUUAAAAAGUCAUCUUUAUAAUGUAAAAAUAACUAUUUUAAAUAGUCAUAAUGUUUUUUCAUAUUUCAUUAUAACGUUUAGUGGGAAAAAAAUUUAUUUCCCUCCAAAAACACUUAUUCUCAAACCCUAACCCUUCUUUGCUCCUCUCUUUACUUUGAGGUGUUAUCUCUCAACUCUAAUGAGUUUAUGUUGAGAAAUAGGUAAAUCUUUCUUCUCUAUUUGUUCUAUGAUUUUAUUCUCAACCUCACCCCCAUUGAAAGAAAUGAGUUGUGUUUCAACCUUUUUGUAUUUGACUGAUAAGAAAAUCAAAAAGUGAUUUACAUUUUCUUUUUUUUUCUUUACCUUUUUUACUUUUUCUUGUUUAGUUACUUCCUUGUGAAAUGUUUUCUUCAAUUAAGUUACGUGUUUAGUUUCCAUUUGUGGUUGCUAAGAAAAUGUUGAAUGAUUUUUAUCCAUUUUCUAUAUUUUUCAUGUUUAAAUAUGAUUGGUUAUUGAGAAAAUAGAGGAAUUGUUGUUCUUCAUUUUGUUUGAUUUCCAUUUAUUGUUUUGUUGUUAGGAAGAUAGAAAAAUUAUUACUCUGUGUUUCUUUGUAUUAAUUCAUGUUUGAGAAAAUGAAGGAUUUUUUCUUUCUCUGAUUUCCAUAUUUUCAGUUUCUAUUCUUAAUUUACACAUUUAUUGCUUAACUGUUGAGAAAAUGAAAGAUUUUUUUCUCUUUAAUUUUCAUUCUUGAUUUGCACACAUUGAUUGUUUGAUUGUUGAGAAACGGAGGAAUUGUUCUUUAAUUUUCUACAUUAAUUUUUAUGUUUGUUCUUUGAUUUGUUGAGAAAAUAGAGGAUUUUUUUUCUAUAAUUUCCAAAUUUUUAGUUUUUAUUCUUGAUUUUCACAUUUGUUGUUUGGUUCUUGAGAAAAGGGACAAAUUAUUGUUCUCUAAUUUUCCAGAUUUUCUUGUUGUUUGAUUUGCUAAUAAAAUGGGGGACCUUUUUUGUUUUCUCUUCAAUUUUAAGAUUUCCAAUUUUCACAUUUUCACAUUUUUGUUUUCUAUUUUUAUAGAUUAAUUUCACGUUUUCUUGAUUUGUCCAGAAAAUGGAGGAUUUUUUUUCUACAAUUUCUAGAUUUUUAGUUUCUAUUAUUGAUUUUCAAGUUUGUUGUUUGGUUGUUUAAAAAAUAGAGAAAUUAUUGUUCUUUACUUUUCUAAAUUUUCACAUUUGUUGUUUGAUUCAUUGAGAAAAUGGGGGAUUUUUUUUUUCUCAACUUUCCAUAUUUUCAAUUUCAAUUUCUACGCUUUAGUUAAUGAGAAAAUUGAGGAAUAAUUCUUCUUAUUUUCUAGAUUUAGUUUUGUGUGUGGUUUCUCUUUGAAAAGUGGAUAAAUUUGGAUUUCUUGAUUUUUCUUUUUCCACAUAUGAUUGUAGUUGAUUGAACUUUACUUGAUGUUGUUUUGUAAAAUCUUUAAGUUUAUGUACACUUUAUAAGAAAGUGUAAAACUCGAUAUCUAUAAUUUUUCCUUUCAAAAAUAAAGGAAAAAGGGAAAUAGGAGUUCGAUGAAGUGAGAGGAGAUUCUUUGAAUGUCUUAUUUAUUUCAUGUGAUUUUAUUUAAGAUUUUUGUUUGUGGGUUCAUAUUUUUGUAUUUGUCUUAACUACUCUUAAAUAACUUUUUCUUUUCUGCUAAUUAGAAGAUGAUGAUUUGAAAUACAAGAAAAAGACGGGGAGAAGUUCUCUAGGAGUAAAACCAUUGUCUCAUUAUUCAUGUAUUAUAUCAUGAUAAGACACUAUGUUCUUAAGAUUAUUUUACGAUGAUUUGGUAAAUCUUUUGUUUCUAUAAAUAUAUAUAUAUAUAUAUAUAUAUGAUUUUCAGAAAACAUCAUGAUUAAUAUUAACUUUUGCAUUAUCAAAAUUAUAAAAAAAACUGUUGAAAUUGUUUGAGAUAAAAAAGAGAAAGUUAAAUAGUUUGUGAUAUGCUUAAUUCUCUAAUAUUAUUAUUGUUAUUCAUGUGUUCUUGUGUUUUACACUCUUUGGAAAAUAUACUAAAAUUUAUUUCAAUUUAUUAUAAUUUUAUUUAAUAUCCAUGUUAUUUAGUUAUUAUUUAUCUUAACUUAUUAUAAUUUUAUUUAAGAUCUAUGUUAUUUGUAUUUUAACUCUUGAUAGUUUAAAGGUCAUCAAACAUAUUCUGAAACAAGAUCUCAUUGGGUAGCAUUUGUAACUGAACUAAUACUUAACAAAGGUCCACCUUCAAUAGGUAUAUGAAACUCUUUUCUUACAUUUAUAUUAUAUAUUCUUUGAUUGUUUGAAAAAAUCACAAUAUUGAUAACAUGUUUUCAUAUAACAUGAUUGAUAAAAAAAAAGUUAUAAAAAUUAGUAUAAUAAAAAAUUUAAGCAAAUCGCCCUAUUUGUCUUAUGUAUUUUAAAAUUAUUUUCUACCAUUUUCCUCUCAAUUUCCUUUUCCUCAAAUUUUAUGAGAACCAAACAUAUCCUUACUAUUCCCUUUUUAUGGGUUGGGAAAUUGGGGUUACACUCUUAGUAAAAUGGCUUCUUUGAAGUUGUUUGAAGUGAUUCAAGUUCUCAAUGUUGAUUAAUUUGAACUUAUAAUAAGUUCAUUAGUUGUUUUUAUUGACUCUUGUGAGUUGUGGAAGCCAAGUACUAGUUGUGUAACAUUUUUUGGAAAAUCAAUUAAGACCAAUUUGAGUGUAUAAAUACUAAUAUGUGAUUUACCUGUUAUGUACAUGUAGAGCAAAUUGUCUAUAUUCAGCAAAAUCAUGGGCUAUGAGUGAUAUUUCUCAUUUUUAGAUCAAUCUUUUAUUAUGGAUAUACUUUAUUGGUGUUAAAAUACUUUAACAUGUUUGUUCCUUAAAACGUAUUAUUAACAAUAUCAAUUAAUUAUAUUUUGUUCAUUUUUUAAUUUUUAAAAAUUUCGCUUAUAUUUGUUAAAUUUAAAAUAUAAGUUAUCUACUACAAUUGAAAACUACUCCACAUGAAUAGCAUCACAACAAGUCCUCAACAACAUUGCGAUAAGCCCUAAUAAAUUUUUUUAAUUUAAAAUUAAAUAUUUGAUGAUAAUUAGUCAAUGCAUACAACAUAGAAAAGAAAAGUAAACAUAAAAGGUACAUAUCAUUUUCGUAUUAGUUAUUAUAAUGAUUGAAAGAAAGCUUUGGUGACACCAUGAAAAAUAGUCAUCAAUGAAUUAUAAUGAUAAUAGAAAAUAGACUUUAUUGAUAGAAAAUGACAUGAAUAAAUAGGCAUCAUUAAGAAAAGAUGACUAGAAAAAAUAGUUAUCAAUAACUUUAUAAUGACAUAGAUAAGUAGUCAACAAACGACCCCCUAAAAGAUGACUUUCUUUUUUCUUAACAAUAAUAUGACAAUGUUUCUCUAUCAUCCUCUCUCUUUUUCUUUGUAGUGAAUUUGUAAUAUUAUGUGAUAAUAUAUGAACUUGACAACACAUUAAUAUUUGAAUCUAUUGAAUGACAAAAAAGAACGAUAAUAUUAAGAUAAUUAUUUUUUAUUUAAAAAUAUUGAUAAUUUUAUUUAUAAAUUUAUAUUUGAUUUGAUUUUAAUUAAUUUAUAAUAUAUAUUUAUUUAUAAUUUGUAAAAAAUAUUAUGUAUAAUUUGUGUGUGUAUAUAUAAUUUGAUAUUCAUGUUUAACACAAAUGAAGAUUUGGUUCAAUGGCACAAGUAAUCCAUGUUAUGUUUAAGGUUUGGGUUCGAUCUGCACGCAUGUAUACGAUUGACGUUAUAGAUGUGGUCAUGGCAGAUUCGAGCUCUCUCUCAUCCUAUUUUGCAGAUAUUAUCUUCCUUUUGGGCCUGGUUUGUUUGAUUGGAUAUUUGAAAUGAGUCCAAAAAAGAACUUUGAUGAGUAGGGCGCUCACAGGCUGAAAAAUUAUUUGAUGGGCUCUAGAUAAUGGGCCUUUUAUGGGCCAGAAUACGACCCUGUGGUCCAAGGUACCAGAGACGGUACAUUAUCUCCACUUUUCAGUCAUUGAAUGGAAACAAAGUCAAACUUUGGAGUUAUGUAAUUUGUGCACCAUUAAUCUAAAAGGAAUCAGAUAAUCCUUUAUAGCUCUUGCCAUAAAAGGGCUUGACCAGGGGUGUGGGCCUAAGGCCCAAGCCCAAUAGGAUUCUUCUCAGCAAAACAAAAAAGUUCACCUUGUUCCAUCAUUUGAAGCCAUUAAUCAAUUGAUCUUUCGUCAUUAUCUUUUACAAUAAUUAUAUCAACCAACCUACUAUGACAUGAUUUCAUUGUUUUAUGAAUUGAAAUCAUCGAUUCGUCUAUUUUCUUAGUCAUGAUGGGUCUAUGACCAUGUAAAUGAUUAUUUUGAUUUGUUUCAUUACCAAUAUUAUCUUUUCUUUAUCCUUUAUUAUAAGUUUUAUUUGAAAUUUUUGUUUUAUUUUUUUUUUAUCACUUAUCACAAGCGUGCAAUGAUCUCAUAAGUUGAUGAAUGAUUAUAAAAUUUAAGAUGGUGUUUGUUUUUUUUUUGCUUUUUGCUGAAAGCAAUUUAUUUUCAAAAUUUAAGUUGUUUGUUUUUCUAUUUUUUCAUGACUUAUUAUAAACUUUUUACUAAAUAAAAAAAGCAAAAAUAUGUAGUUUUUCUAAUUAAAAAAAUAACAUAUAUAUUUUUUUUUUACUUUUUAAUACUUAAUAGAAAUAAAAUACUACAAAAACAAACAACCUAAUAUUUAAUACUAUUAAGCAUUAAGGUUCUAUAUAGAAUUAAGUAAAAAAACAAACACCACCUAACUUUUUUAAAGUUUUUAUCUAUAAUAUAAUCAAACAUUAUGAUCAAAAUGUUUUCCAAUCAUACGAGUAUCAUUCAAAUUUUUCCUAAUAAUUUUUAAUAGAUUGACAAUCAUUUACUCUCAAAAAUUGAUCGAAGAUCGAUUAUGAUUUUUUCACAUUUAAAUUGUUGAAUUUCUACUUUAAGAAUUUGAAAGUGAAAUUUCUUACUUUCUCAACUAUAUAAUAUAUAUUUUGUAAUAUCUCUCAUACUCCCUUCGUGUGAUUACACUUCAAAUCUUCUCAAAACAUUUUCAUAAAUUAUUUGAUAAAUGGCAGUAAGAAUAUCAUUUGGUUCCUCGAAGUCUUUCUCUCCAAACUUUAAUAAAUCUUGUAUUUUAGAAGUUGCGUAAACUUUCACUUUUAAUAAAAUUAAAAGUGUGAUUGAUAGUAUUUUUAAUAGAAAUAUAUUUUUAAAAAUCAUUUAUCAAAUUUUUCUUUAAUUUUUAAAUUUUUAUGAGGUAUUAUGAAGGUUGAAGCUAGGGUUGAGAGAUUGGUAUUGGAUAGGGAAAAAAAAAGUAUAGACUCUUUUAGUGAGUGCAAUAAGGUUAAGAAUCCAAAAUGGAUUCCAAACCCACUACUACUAGUAAUUGAUUUGGCUUUUGAAUGUGAGAACCCACCCCACAGCCUAAGUGCAAAGUGUGGAACAUGAGAUUGACUCACAACAUGAGUAGGCAGGGAUUCCACGCCGCAAUCUCUUGGUCAUUAUUUCCCACUACUAGUGCCCGCUAAAGUUCCCAACAACAUAUAAGCAAAUGUGCAAAAGAGCAAAAAGUAUGUUAAUGCCUGAAAUUAAUUUUAGUGGUUCUCAGCCCUUCAUGCCCAUUUAUAUUGCGUCAAAUAUUGGUCAUGUACUGUGACCUAAUUUCUGUGAAGGAUCGAUUGAUGCUUCAAGAGGGGAAGCUAAUGACUCCUAGAAAAUAGGGAUGAAAACCAAGAGGAUGCUUUCAAAGGCCGGUUCUAUCCUAAUAUAAGGGUUGUUUGAUUGUGUUUUUUAAAACAUUUUUAUUCUAAAAGGUUUUUUUUUUUUUUUAAAAAAAAAAGUUGUUUAACAAAAUUUUAGAAAAUGCUUUUAAAAAUUACUUAUGGUGUUUUUCGAGGCAAUACUUUAUACAUCAUUUUCCAAAAAAUACUAUAAGAAACCGUCAAACGCACUCUUGUUAGACUAAUUUGAGAAAAUUAUAAUAGAGUUUGAAACAAAUUUGAAAUUUAAUUUUUAAAUUCAUUAAGGAUUUUAGUGGGAUUUUGAAAAUGAUAUGAUAAUUUUAAAAAAUAUUUAUUUUUUGAAACUAUUUCUAAAUUUACAACACAAAAUUCAAUAGAAUUUUUUUUUAAUAGAUAAUUUGAGAUGAAUUUUAAGAACUCCUUUUUUGUGUGUUCUUUUCUAUGGAUAUUUAAAAACUUGCUUUUUAUAAUAAUACAUAGUUUUUUCAAUUAAAGAUUAUGAUUUAGUAAAUAUAUUAGGUAAAUGAGGCGAUUUUAUUAUAAUAUGAUUUAUACUAUAUUUUAUAAAUUGUUUUGAAGAUUUGACAUUAAUCAUUUACUUGAAUUUGAAAGAAUAUCAACGGAGGUUAAGGUGGUAUUUGUUUUUUUACUAAAAGAAAAAAUUAAAAAUAUUUAGUUUUUUCUAUUCAACUAAAAAUAACAUAUCGAUAAUAUUAAUAUAAUCUUAAAGCCCGUAUGAUUGUGUUAAAAAUGAUAAAAACGUUUUUAAAAAUCACCUAAAAUCAAGGUGAGUCGGACCGUGUUACAAAUUUAGAUCCAUAGGGUAAACAAGGAGAAUUUAAACAAAAGGUCAGCUCCACUUAUGACAAAGAGGCAUGGAGACAAGCCGAUGCCAACCACUAUAAAAACACUAAUCACUGUCUUGUAAAAUCACAACCUUCUCCUCUCAACAAUCCCACCUGAUCGUAUGGCAAUCCUCGCCUCCUCAUCUCUCAAUCGUCUAAUCCGAAUUCUGCUACUCCACCUACCAUGGUUCCUCUGUGUAAUCUGCCAGAGAACAAGACAUGGAACCCCACCACCAUCAUUCGUAUUUCCUCCUCCACCACCGCCUCCUUCGCCACCGCCUCCUUCACCACCGCCACCUUCACCAUUACCUUCAGAACCACCAGUAGUACCACCAGUAGCACCACCAGUAAUCUUCCCGGACCUGCGCCUCGCCACCGUUUUCCCCGUGAUCCAAAAGUUCAAGGCCAGCAUCACCUCCGACCCUCUUGGAAUCACCUCUACAUGGGUCGGUGGAGACAUCUGCAAAUACAAGGGCUUCUACUGCGACAACCCACCAGAUAACUCCACCUCCCUGGCACUUGCCGGCAUCGAUUUCAAUGGCUUCCAGCUGGCUGCACCUAGCCUGGAUGGCUUCAUUGAUGCCCUUCCUGAUCUAGCAAUCUUCCAUGCAAACACCAACUUCUUCAGCGGCAACAUCACCCCCAAAAUCGCCAAGCUGCCAUACUUCUACGAGCUGGACCUCAGUAACAACAAGUUCUCCGGCGAGUUCCCUCCGACGGUGCUCGCCAUCCCCGGCUUAUCCUUCUUGGACAUUCGUUAUAACUCGUUUUCCGGGUCUGUCCCACCUCAGGUUUUCGUACAGAAUCUCGAUGUCCUCUUCAUCAACAACAAUAACUUCAACCAGAAAAUCCCUGAUGACUUCGGAAACACUCCGGCAAGGUACAUAACGUUCGCAAACAACAAGUUCACCGGUCUGAUACCGCGCAGCAUCGGAAACUCUUCAUCGACAUUGACUGAAAUCCUUUUUCUCAAUAACUUCUUAUUUGGGUGUCUUCCAAUUGAAAUAGGCUCUCUGAAAGAGCUGACAGUUUUCGACGUGGGCCAUAACUUACUGACGGGCCUUUUGCCGUGCUCGCUGGGGUGUUUACAUAACGCGGAGCAGCUCAACUUCGCCGGAAACUUUUUCUACGGUAGAGUGCCUGAAGAGUUGUGUGCAUUGAAAAACCUUCAGAAUUUGACUUUGUCGGAUAAUUAUUUUACGAAAAUAGGGCCAAACUGCAGAGAUCUGAUACCAACUGGGAAAAUUGAUCUGAGGAACAAUUGCAUUCGUAAUCUUCCUGAUCAGAGACCAAGAUCUGAUUGUCUGGCCUUCUUUUUGAAACCCAAGUUUAUUUGCCCGAAUAUGGUCUUGUAUGAAAAUAAUACUUGUGAUGAUGGUCAAUUGCAAUCAACUCAUAUGAGGUCCAGGAAACCGAAUAUUCCAAAGGUUACUUACUCUGCGCUUGUGAAGCAUCGUUAGUGAUUAUUUCACACCACAGUAUAUGGAGAUAUGAAAGGGAAGAAGUCUGCAAGCAGUGCAGAGUUCAUAUAUGAUUUCUGAUGUUUAAUGCAUAAGUUUCAACUCUCAUACAAUUACAUUGUACUGGUUCUACACUGAAGUUCAAGUUCAUUUCCAAAUGAGAAAAGCCAUUAUUUUUCUAUUUUUCUUAUUGUUUGUUUUUUAUUUUUGGAUUAAAUACCUUUCAACCUUAGGUUUGUUUUAUACUUUCUCUCAAUACAUUCAAAACUCAUCAAUUUAUCCUCCAUAACUAAUUAAACAUCAACAUUUUAUCCCGAAUUACUAACUUAAAAUAAAAUUAUAAAAAAGAUCGUAUAUUUUCACACUCUAGUUCCAACAUUGGUUUGAACUCAGAUAAAACAAAUUUUAAAAUAAAAUUUUUUAAAUACAUUUAAAAUGUAAUAACUAUCAAUUUUGAGUUUUUAUUUUAAAGUACGACUAUUUAUAAUUUUUUUCAUUUUAAUCUUCAAACUUAGAUAAUAGAUUUUUUUUUAUUACAUUUUAAUUUUGUUUAUUCAACUUUUUAAUAAGUUUUGGGGGACAAAUAUUGCUUUUUAAUCAAUAUGAGGAGUAAAAUGUUGACUUUUGGAGGUGAAGGAGCAAAAUGUAAAAUACCUAUUCAACCCUUUAUUUUUUCUUUUAUGGACCUAACAAGUUUCAACCUCGAGGAGUUACAAGGGAUUAAAAUAUUGGGAUUUGGAUAUAAAAACAAAAACAAAAUUCUUUCAAAAGUACCCUGAAAAAGACAAAAAAAAAGAAAAAAAAAGUAUGCUAUUAUUCCACCUUCAAUCCAAAAGAUAAUGAAAGAUAAGCUUAAGAUUUGAUCAGCUAAACCUAACUAUGAUUGGAGAGUAUAAGUGUAGUGUCAAGGAUAUGAAAAAGAAAUGUAAGUAUUGACCAAUAUAAAUUUCAUGGAAGUUAGUAUUCUUCAAGGUAGAUAAAAUUUGGUAUUAUUUUAUAAUUAGUGAAUUGUUUUAUAUUAUAAAAACAUAUGAUCUCGGGGGUGUAAUGAGGUGAGCCCUAAUAAAAGGGUUUCGAUCUCGCAAAAAUAUAUAAACACUAUUAGUUAUAUUUGAUGGUCAUAUUCUUGAGAAUACAAAUCAAACGUCAUGUUCUCAAGAACAUAUUUACAUAAACUCAAAAGGUAUUUUUCAUUAUUUGCUCUGAUCAUAAGAUGACAUGUGAAUGCCUAAUAAAUAUAAAUAUUAAAUAGCAUUUAAAAUUAAAAAAAAAAAAAGACAGUUGAAAAUUAGUGUACUUACAUCUACUAAAGGUUUUGAUUGAGAUUUUAUAGGUGCUCUUCCAGCCAUAUAUUGUGUCCCAUUAUGAUUUAUGGUUUAUUCUUUAUUUAUUUAAUACAUUUGUUGAUACCAUUUGGUUAAUUCAAUUACUUGGUCAAUAAUUAAAAUUUGAGAAAAUUAUCUUGGAGGUAUAUAUUCACCCCCUUCUAGAUUUUACUAGGAAUCAAGAACAAAGAAUUCACAAUGCUUUAUAUUUAAUCUUUUUUAUCUUUUAUAAAAAUGAUGAAUAAUCCUAACAUAUCCUAAGAAAAAUGAUUGAAUUGCACCUCCCAUUUAACUAUAACAAAUGGUAACAUGAGUUAAGGGUUAAUAAUGAAAUAAGUGAUUAGUUUUAUAAUUUAAAGUUUUCAAAUUUUUUGUUAAGUUAUGUUUGGUUUCUGAAAAAUAUUAGGGAAAGAAAAAAAUAUUAAAAAAAAUAUUUUAUGACUGUUUUAUGAAAAAUAUAUAAAAAAACAAAUAUAAUUAAAAUUAAUUAAAAUUUUGUGUAUUUUUAAAUUAUUUAAUCUUUAUAUAAUUAAAUUAAAAUAAGUAAAAUAUGUUUGAAACAGCAAAUAAAAAUAACUUAUUAACUUUAAUUUUUUUUCCUUCUCUUUUGCUUUUAUUCUAUUUUUUUUUUUCUAUUUUAUGUCCCUUGUAAUUUUUUUUUUUUUCAGAUUUUCUAGGAAACAAACAUAACAUUAGUUAAUUUGUUGGGAAUUCAUCGAAGGAUCCACAUUUUCUUGUUUUCUCCUUCAAGCAUUACCUCAAGUCUUAAAUGCCAUAUCAUUUUUAUGAGUUAAAAAUAUAUUAUGGAUCACUUACAACAUAAUUACGGAGGUGGGCAUUAUGGUUUAGGCAAUUUACCACUUUAAAAUAUAAAAAAAUUUUAAAAAAUAUUGGUAAAUACCUUGAUUAUGAAAAACUUUAUUUUGAAGAAUGGAAGCACUCAUGUAACACAUUUUUUGUUUAAUUAGUGUAGGAUAAUGUGAAACUCAUCAUGUCAUUACUUAAAGUUUUGACUUUAAAAAUGAGAAGUGGUUGAAAUGGUAGUUAAUGAAACUUGGUGGAGAAAUCACUUGGAUUGAAGAAGGUGGAGAUGGGCAUUGGGUGAGUGUGGACACUAGAUUCCCUAUUGAUUUUCCCCAAGUUGAUGGGUGCCAAAAAGAAAUGAAUCAUAUAAGGUGGAAGCUAACUCAAGACGCACACCCAUUAUCUCCAUCCGGCCUGCCCUCCCUCCAACCCAUGGCCUGUUGCUUUUUCCAAGGGACAAAUGUCUGUGAAUUGGUCGUCACUCUAAGGUCAUGAAUGCCCAGUAAUUCUUCUUCUUUUUCUUCUUCUUUUUUAUUUGGCUCAAAUAAUUUGAGUAGCACAUUUUUAUUGGGUAAGUUUGUCACGUGAUAGCCUGAUAGGUGAUAGUUUAAAUUUUAUUUUUAUUUUUUUAUUAUAUAAUACAUUAUUUAAAAUGCUAUCAAAAAAAAAAUAUAUUUUUUAAUAUACCAAAGUGAUUUCUUUAAAAACGUUUUAAGUAUUACAAAUAAAGUGUUUUAAUUAAAAUCAUUUCCAAAGAAUCUUUGUUAUUGUACGAAUAUAUAAAUAAAAAAAAAGUACAUUUUAUAAUUUUUUUAAUAAUGUGUUAUAUAAUAAUAAUAAUAAUAGAAGGCAAAACACCUUAAAAAUUACUUCUAAUAAUUCUCCAAAUGUUUAAAUUUUUGUGAAAUACCUCAUUUUUAUAAAAAGAAUACUGUUGUCAAAUGAAUUAUUAGUUUUAGUAGACGUUUGAUAAAUUAAUUUAAUAAUUUAAAGUAACUUAAUAACUUAAUUUAAGUUAUGAAGUAUGUUUGGUAUGAUGUUUGUCUUUUUACCUUUUUACUGAAAGUAAUUUGUUUUCAAAUUUUAAGUUAUUUGUUUUUCUAUUUUUUCACGAUUUAUUAUAAUUUUUUUACUAAAUAUAAAAAUUUAAAAUAUUUGACUUUUCUAAAUGAAAAAAAUAACAUAUUGGUUUUUCUUUAGUUUUUAAUAUUUAAUAGAAAUAAAAUAUUAUAAAAAUAAACAAACUAAUAUUUAAAGUUAUUAAACAUUAUUUAGUUUUAAGUUUUAUUUAAAAUUAAGCAAAAAAUAAACACCAUCUAAUAAUAUAACUUAAAAUAAAAAACAACUUUAAGUAAUAAAUGAAAAUAGUCAAUUUAUUAUCAAGUUAACAUCUUUAUUUUAUUUUUUUUAUUUUUAUUUAUCCUAAUUACUUCUAUAAAUUUCUUUGUUAUUUUAUGACUUUCACAGUUGCUUGACCUCAUUUGUUAUAAUUAUAAUUUUUGAAUCAAUUUAAUGAUUUCGAAUAAAUUUUAAGUUAAUUUUAUCAAAUAAUUUUAAUACUUAAAGUAAAAUUAAGUAUUAAGUUUUAUCAAGCAUCCUCUACUUAGAUAACUUAUUAAAUUAUUUUUUAAUGCAAUGAAUAUGAAUAUAAUAAAUAAAUAUUAAUUCGUAACUUUUAAAUGAAGAAGUAAUAAAUUACUUUAUAUCUUUGUAGAACAUUUUUAUUAUGAAAAUUAAUACUAUCUUUUUGUUUUUAAAAAUAAAAAACAAGGAGGGUAUCCAAAUCACAACUAUCACAUCCAACAUUUGAGCUCGACCCAGGUUCGAAAAAUUCUGAAAAUCAGGCCAACAUUGGCUUGCACAUUCAAGCUGGGGCUAGAUCCGAUUCUUGGGACAUGUUUGGACCACAAAUGCAGGUUGAAGCGUACCUGAAUAAAGAAGGCCCUCGGGACCAUAAUUUUUUUAAAAAAAGAAUAAAAAUAAAAAUAAAAAGAGAUGAUGACGCUUAAUUUAUUGUAGUUAGAGCUCCGGGUCUUCGACCUUAAUUCAAGGCUGCGAGAAAACGAACCUCACAUGGCCUACUAUGGAAAUCUGCUUGUUGUGCGUUUGGUACAGGGUCACCAUGUUGUUGCCUCCCACAGCCCAUUGGUCCACAAAAUUACUAACGUCACGUGUCCCCGUCAGAGCCAAGCCUCUCCCACUCGGGGCAUCACGCGCUGCUACUGUUAACUGUUAAGAACCCCUCCCAAUGUCACGACUUUAAAAAAGGUCAUUAAAGUAUACAUCUCUCUCUCUCUCUCUCUCUCUCUCUCUCUCUCUCUCUCUCUCUCUCUCUCUCUCUCUCUCUCUUUUAAAACAAAUUUCAUAUGAGGUUGGGUGAUCAUAUCAUUUUAUAACGAUUUAUCCCAUUUAAAGAAUAAAUAUUUUGUGAAAAAAGAAUGAAAUAAUCCCUAAUCGAAAAUUUAAUAUAUCUCAUGUUUUUUUAAUGGAAAAGUAAUCUAUUUUUAACAUAAAAAUAUUUUUUCUAUUUCAAGUUUUUAGGUAUAACUUUUAAAAGAAAUUGUUAUUUUUAUAAGAAUAUAACGAAGGUAUUUUUGUUCAAAUAAUGUCAAAAAAUAAUGAAAAAUUAAAUUUUAAGAAGCCCUUUUAAUCAAAUAAUCCUUUAAAGAAAUUCUCACUAUUUUGAAACAUAUCUAUAAAAUUUUAAAAAAAUUCAUACAUUAAAAUUUUUAGGAAUUAGAUAUACGUCACCUAAGUAUUCCUGAAAUGACACAAUUCAAUUCGGCACUAUGCCAAGAAGGGAGGAACCUUUUCAAUACCACCCAUCAAGAUGUAUCCUCUUUAUGCCAUCACCUCCUGAUCGUCGGUAAGACCAUAUUGACAAGAUCAUGUUUACCCAUUUGAUAUUUAGCUUAAAAAAACCCAUAAACAACUUGUGAUCAUACUAAAAAAUUCACAUCAUUGUGUAUAAGACAUACACAUCUAUUGCAACGACCUAUAAAAAAAACCAGAAGAACAAUAGAGAAAACGCUUCCAUUAAUUAUACGGCCAUUGAGAUUAAACUAGACUCAUAAUUUUUAUUUUUUUAUCCACGAAACAAAUAUACUAAUUCUUUCAUAUAUGCUUCACACCACUUGUUACCUUUAAUGGCAUU
rnacentral:lncRNA from 1 species